UAGGGAAUCUUCGGUAAUGGACGAAAGUCUGACUGAGCAACGCCGCGUGAGUGAAGAAGGUUUUCGGAUCGUAAAACUCUGUUGUUAGAGAAGAACAAGGACGUUAGUAACUGAACGUCCCCUGACGGUAUCUAACCAGAAAGCCACGGCUAACUACGUGCCAGCAGCCGCGGUAAUACGUAGGUGGCAAGCGUUGUCCGGAUUUAUUGGGCGUAAAGCGAGCGCAGGCGGUUUCUUAAGUCUGAUGUGAAAGCCCCCGGCUCAACCGGGGAGGGUCAUUGGAAACUGGGAGACUUGAGUGCAGAAGAAGAGAGUGGAAUUCCAUGUGGGGCGGUGAAAUGCGUAGAUAUAUGGAGGAACACCAGUGGCGAAGGCGGCUCUCUGGUCUGUAACUGACGCUGAGGCUCGAAAGCGUGGGGAGCAAACAGG
rnacentral:rRNA from 1 species